AUUGAACGCUGGCGGCAGGCCUAACACAUGCAAGUCGAGCGAUAACGGUCUUCGGACUUAUUAAAGCGGCGGACGGGUGAGUAACGCGUGGGAAUCUACCUAGUAGUGGGGGACAACAGUUGGAAACGACUGCUAAUACCGCAUACGCCCUACGGGGGAAAGCGGAGGAUCUUCGGACUUCGUGCUAUUGGAUGAGCCCGCGUCAGAUUAGCUUGUUGGUGGGGUAAUGGCCUACCAAGGCGACGAUCUGUAGCUGGUCUGAGAGGAUGAUCAGCCACACUGGAACUGAGACACGGUCCAGACUCCUACGGGAGGCAGCAGUGGGAAUAUUGGACAAUGGGGGCAACCCUGAUCCAGCCAUGCCGCGUGUGUGAAGAAGGCCUUUUGGUUGUAAAGCACUUUAAGCAGUGAAGAAGACUCCAUGGUUAAUACCCAUGGACGAUGACAUUAGCUGCAGAAUAAGCACCGGCUAACUCUGUGCCAGC
rnacentral:rRNA from 1 species